CUCUGAUUAUAUAACCAAUAUUUUUCUGUCAAAUUUUCAUUUUGAUUUAAUUUGUGCUGGCAAAUAGAGUGGCAAAGUGUCAGGAGCAAUUUGUUGCACAAAUAUUUUGCCAUAUCCACUCGCUCGAAGCAAAGCGAAAACACUCUGCCAGCAUAAUCGAUAGUUCGGCAUAUUUAAAGGAGCUCAAGCUGCAGACCCUGCGCUCCACACAUUUGUGGCCCAACUGGAGAAUGAGGUGGAGCCGCCUCGAGUGCAUCGACUGCCACUCAAAGCUUCAAUGCGAUGUCAGUGCAACUUAACCUUAAGUGCACCGGAUCAUGGACAAUCCAAGGCUGCCUCGCUACUCCACGAGACUGACUUUCGCCUUCUAUUCGCUUCAGCACACAUGAUGAUAUGAAGGGGGCUCCAAUUGGUAUUAACUAGGCCAAAGAUAUUGUCUUGUCAACUGAGACAAAGUAAAUUAAGUGCUGUCAGUUCAAUACGAGCAUUUCUUAAAUUACU
ensembl:ncRNA lncRNA:CR44660 long non-coding RNA:CR44660